AUGUGCCCUGCUUGCUUACGUCCGCGCCGCGGUUUCCAGCGGGGGAAGCUCCAUGCACGGAGCAGGGAUACACCAUGCACGGAGCAGGGAUAUCCCAUAAAUGGAGCAGCAAUACGUCAUGCAUGGAGCACGGAUGCACCAUACACGGAGUGGGGAUACGCCAUGCAUGGAGCAAGGAURUGCCAUGCACGGAGUGGGGRUAUCCCAUGCAYGGAACAGGGAUACACUGUGCAUGGAGCAGGGAUACUCCAUGUAUGGAGCAGAGAUACGCCAUGCACGGAGCAGGAAUACACUGUGUGUGGAGCGGGGAUAUGCCAUGCAUGGAACAGGGAUAUCUCCUGCAUGGAGCAGGGAUAUGCCAAGCACGGAGCGGGAAUGCCCUGUGCAYGGAGCAGGGAUAUCUCGUGCAUGGAGUGGGAAUGCCCCAUGCACGGAGCAGGGAUAUCCCAUAAAUGGAGCAGGGAUACACCGUGCACAGAGCAGGGAUACGCUGUGCAUGGAGCAGCAAUACGUCAUGCACGGAGCACAGAUGCACCAUACACGGAGUGGGGAUAUGCCAUGCAUGGAGCAAGGAUACGCCAUGCACGGAGUGGGGAUAUCCCAUGCACGGAACAGGGAUAUGCUGUGCAUGGAGCAGGGAUAUCCCAUAAGUGGAGCAGGGACACACUGUGUGUGGAGCAAGGAUACACCGUGCACAGAGCAGGGAUAUCCCAUGCACGGAGCAGGGAUGUGCCAUGCACAGAGCAGGGAUACAACAUGUAUGGAGCAGGGAUACACCGUGCACGGAGCAGGGAUACGCUGUGUGUGGAGCGGAGAUACGCCAUGAAUGGAACAGGGAUAUCUCCUGCAUGGAGCAGGGAUACGCCAAGCACGGAGUGGGGAUGCCCUGUGCACGGAGCAGGGAUGCACCAUGCAUGGAGCAGGGAUAUCUCGUGCAUGGAGYGCGGAUGCCCCAUGCAUGGAGUGGGGAUACACCAUGCACGGAGCAGGGAUACGUUGUGCAUGGAGCAGGGAUACAUUGUCCAUGGAGUGGGGAUAUACCAUGCAUGGUUCAGGGAAUAUCCCAUGCAUGGAGCAGGGAUGCACCAUGCACGGAGCAGGGAUACACCAUGCACGGAGCAGGGAUGCCCCAUGCACGGAGCACGGCUGCUCCAUGCACGGAGCGGGGAUGCCGCAGGGUGA
rnacentral:lncRNA from 1 species